UACGUAGGGGGCAAGCGUUGUCCGGAAUCAUUGGGCGUAAAGAGCGUGUAGGCGGCCCGAUAAGUCCGCUGUGAAAGUCCAGGGCUCAACCCUGGGAUGCCGGUCGAUACUGCCCGGACUAGAGUUCGGAAGAGGCGAGUGGAAUUCCCGGUGUAGCGGUGAAAUGCGCAGAUAUCGAGAGGAACACCUGCGGCGAAGGCGGGUUGCUGGGCUGAUACUGACGCUGAGACGCGAAAGCGUGGGGAGCAAACAGG
rnacentral:rRNA from 1 species